GGGCCCGCACAAGCGGUGGAGUAUGUGGUUUAAUUCGAUGCAACGCGAAGAACCUUACCAGGGUUUGACAUCCUGCGAAUCUCUUGGAAACGAGAGAGUGCCUUCGGGAACGCAGUGACAGGUGGUGCAUGGCUGUCGUCAGCUCGUGUCGUGAGAUGUUGGGUUAAGUCCCUUAACGAGCGCAACCCCUAUCUCUAGUUGCCAGCGGAUAAUGCCGGGGACUCUAGAGAAACUGCCCGUGCAAACGGUGAGGAAGGUGGGGAUGACGUCAAAUCAUCACGGCCCUUACGUCCUGGGCUACACACGUGCUACAAUGGUCGGUACAGAGGGCAGCUACCACGUGAGUGGAUGCA
rnacentral:rRNA from 1 species